rnacentral:rRNA from 1 species
GACGAACGCUGGCGGCGUGCUUAACACAUGCAAGUCGAACGGAAAGGCCCUGCUUUUGUGGGGUGCUCGAGUGGCGAACGGGUGAGUAACACGUGAGUAACCUGCCCUUGACUUUGGGAUAACUUCAGGAAACUGGGGCUAAUACCGGAUAGGAGCUCCUGCUGCAUGGUGGGGGUUGGAAAGUUUCGGCGGUUGGGGAUGGACUCGCGGCUUAUCAGCUUGUUGGUGGGGUAGUGGCUUACCAAGGCUUUGACGGGUAGCCGGCCUGAGAGGGUGACCGGCCACAUUAGGACUAAGAUACGGCCCAGACUCCUACGGGAGGCAGCAGUAGGGAGUAUUGCACAAUGGGCGGAAGCCUGAUGCAGCAACACCGCGUGCGGGAUGACGGCCUUCGGGUUGUAAACCGCUUUCGCCUGUGACGAGGCGUGAGUGAAGGUAAUGAGUAAAGAAGCACCGGCUAACUACGUG